rnacentral:misc_RNA from 1 species
UUUGAGUCAAUGGAUACAAAAGAUUCUGUUACUUACUCUACCAUAGUUCGUGGUCUUUGCCAAGCUAGGAGGUUUCGCGCAGCAUCUAAGUUACUACUAUCGUGUAUUAGAGGUGGCAUGAGAAUUCUUAAAUCAGAUAAACGUGGUGUUAUUGAUGGCCUUCGUGGUUCUGGAUAUUCGCAAGAAGCAAAGAAGAUCCAGUCUAAAAUUCGAUUGGCUAAGAUACUG